rnacentral:lncRNA from 1 species
AAUUUUAGCUGGGAUUAUGCUGUGAUUACGUUUGGCUUAACAGUAAUGAAAAUAAGUUUAGGCUGGGUGCGGUGGCUCAUGCCUGUAAUCCCAGCACUUUAGGAGGCUGAGGCAAGCGGAUCACCUGAGGUCAGGGGUUCGAGACAAGCCUGACCAAGAUGGAGAAACCCCGUCUCUACCAAAAAUACAAAAUUAGCCGGGUGUGGUGGCGCAUGCCUGUAAUCCCAGCUACUCGGGAAGCGGAGGACAAUUGCUUGAACCCAGAAGGCAGAGGUUGUGGUGAGCCGAGAUCUCGCCAUUGCACUCCAGCCUGGACAACAAGAGCGAAACUGCAUCUCAAAACAAUAAUAAGUUUACAACCUCUGAAUAUGUACCAAAUGGAGCCAGGGGUGGGGAGUAUUAGGACAAGCCCCGCACUGCAGAGCCCCCCAGCUCUCACUCGUGGACCGAGUGCAUGGGACACAGCCAUUCGGAAAGCUCUUUCUUUUGGAGUGGGACUGGGUGUUCUGGUUUUGGUUUGCUUGUUUUAUCAUUUUGUGAUGUUGGCGCCUAUUCUUCAGUUUGCAUCCUUGCCUUGCUUGCUUGAAGCUGGAGCACAAAUGUCCCGUCACCCUGUAACAACACAAGCAUGCGUCAUGCCUGCGAGGCUUAGCUUGGGAAGUGGAAUCUCCAGGAAUCUCCUUCUGUGGUCUGUCUGCCACGUUUCGCUGUUGCUCUCAUUUCAGUCACUGAGGCCCUGUCCCUUAUCCUCCAGGGACAUGGUGCUGUCCUAUGAGCUGUGGCUCCUUUGUGACUUUUACAUUGCUCUUCCAGAUAGCAGUGGCAGUGGCAUUUGCAAAAAGGCUAUUUGAGAACAAAUAAGAAUAAAAUCAUCAAAGCGAAGAUGAUAGUAAAACAGCCCUCAUUUUUCAAAGUCCAUUCUUUUUUCUGGUCCGUGCACUGCCAGCUCACUUCUCUGGCUAAAACCCGGGGGCGGCGGGGGUGUGUGUGGGGGGGUUAGUUUUGCAGAAAGUACUGAUGGCACAGCUGUGCUCCAAGUUAACCAGAACACAAGAAUCGAAAAAGCCUGUGAGAUACUGGUGUUUGUGAUCGUAAGCUCCAGGUCGUGGGGUUUUCAGAUGAACACAAAAAGGGGGCUGCUCCCGUCCCAAGAUGAGUGAUAAAUGAGUCACUUCUCAUACUCGCACUUACACUCGCUCCAUUUCCUCUGGGAUGACUGUCUUCCGUCCUACCGCUGUAGCUGCUGUUAUUCGCCUGAUAAACUUCUUUCCCUCUCCCUCCCUCUGACACAGAAACACACACACACACACACACACACAGACACACACACACACACACACACAGCCCGCUGGAUCUAUAAGCAGUUUGUAACAGGAUGCACCAGUUCUAAUCACGUUUCAAGUCAAAUGAACCAGUCGCAGCUUCCUAAUAAGUGAAUGGCUGAUAUGAGGAGUUAAUUCAGAAGCAGCUCAAUACUAUGGACAAUACUAGUGGACAGUAUUAGCAUACUGCUCGUACAACAAAGAUACCGUAGUCUCUUGUGCUGCCUCUUCAGGACGAAUUUGCUGAAAGUGAGUUGUAAUUAGAGAUGUUAAAAAAAAACAUUGGCUGCGCGCGAUGGCUUACUCCUGUAAUCCCAGCACGUUUGGAGGCGAGGCAGGUGGAUCACCUGAGGUUAGGAGUUCGAGACCAGCCUGGCUAACAUGGCGAAACCCCAUCUCUACUAAAAAUACAAAAAAUUAGCCAGGCAUCAUGGUGGGCACCUGUAAUCUCAGCUACUUGGGAGGCUGAGGCCGAAGAAUUUCUUGAACCUGGGAGGUGGAGGUUGCAGUGACCCGAGAUCAUGCCAUUGCACUCCAGCCUGGGCAACAAGAGUGAAAUUGUGUCUCAAAUAAUAAUAAUAAACUGAGAUUUAUCAUUCCUCCUCUCUCUUUUUCCUUGAGAACUUAAUAAAAAUGGAAAAUAUCCAUU